CUACGGGGCGCUCCAGUGGGGAAUUUUGCGCAAUGGGGGGAACCCUGACGCAGCAAUACCGCGUGAGUGAAGAAGGCCUUUGGGUCGUAAAGCUCUUUUCUGAAGGAAGAUAGUGACGGUACUUCAGGAAUAAGCACCGGCUAACUCCGUGCCAGCAGCCGCGGUAAUACGGAGGGUGCGAGCGUUGUUCGGAUUUACUGGGCGUAAAGGGCACGUAGGCGGCCUGGCAAGUUAAGGGUGAAAUCCCGGGGCUUAACUCCGGAACUGCUCUUAAAACUGCCAAGCUAGAGAUAGUCAGAGGCGGGUGGAAUUCCUGGUGUAGAGGUGAAAUUCGUAGAUAUCAGGAGGAACACCGGUGGCGAAGGCGGCCCGCUGGGGCUAUUCUGACGCUAAGGUGCGAAAGCGUGGGGAGCGAACGGGAUUAGAUACCCCGGUAGUC
rnacentral:rRNA from 1 species